CUACGGGAUGCAGCAGUGGGGAAUAUUGCACAAUGGGCGCAAGCCUGAUGCAGCCAUGCCGCGUGUAUGAAGAAGGCCUUCGGGUUGUAAAGUACUUUCAGUCGUGAGGAAGGUGGUGCAGUGAAUAGCUGCAUUAUUUGACGUUAGCGACAGAAGAAGCACCGGCUAACUCCGUGCCAGCAGCCGCGGUAAUACGGAGGGUGCGAGCGUUAAUCGGAAUUACUGGGCGUAAAGCGCAUGCAGGUGGUUUGUUAAGUCAGAUGUGAAAGCCCGAGGCUCAACCUCGGAAGGUCAUUUGAAACUGGCAGGCUAGAGUACUGUAGAGGGGGGUAGAAUUUCAGGUGUAGAGGUGAAAUGCGUAGAGAUCUGAAGGAAUACCGGUGGCGAAGGCGGCCCCCUGGACAGAUACUGACACUCAGAUGCGAAAGCGUGGGGAGCAAACAGGAUUAGAUACCCCCGUAGUC
rnacentral:rRNA from 1 species